AAGAGCUCGUAGGUGGUUUGUCGCGUUGUUCGUGAAAUCUCACGGCUUAACUGUGAGCGUGCGGGCGAUACGGGCAGACUUGAGUACUGCAGGGGAGACUGGAAUUCCUGGUGUAGCGGUGGAAUGCGCAGAUAUCAGGAGGAACACCGGUGGCGAAGGCGGGUCUCUGGGCAGUAACUAACGCUGAGGAGCGAAAGCGUGGGGAGCGAACAGGAUUAGAUACCCUGGUAGUCCACGCCGUAGACGGUGGGUACUAGGUGUGGGUUUCCUUCCUUGGGAUCCGUGCCGUAGCUAACGCAUUAAGUACCCCGCCUGGGGAGUACGGCCGCAAGGCUAAAACUCAAAGAAAUUGACGGGGGCCCGCACAAGCGGCGGAGCAUGUGGAUUAAUUCGAUGCAACGCGAAGAACCUUACCUGGGUUUGACAUGCACAGGACGCCAGCAGAGAUGUCGGUUCCCUUGUGGCCUGUGUGCAGGUGGUGCAUGGCUGUCGUCAGCUCGUGUCGUGAGAUGUUGGGUUAAGUCCCGCAACGAGCGCAACCCUUGUCUCAUGUUGCCAGCGGGCAAUGCCGGGGACUCGUGAGAGACUGCCGGGGUCAACUCGGAGGAAGGUGGGGAUGACGUCAAGUCAUCAUGCCCCUUAUGUCCAGGGCUUCACACAUGCUACAAUGGCCGGUACAAAGGGCUGCGAUGCCGCGAGGUUAAGCGAAUCCUUUUAAAGCCGGUCUCAGUUCGGAUCGGGGUCCGCAACUCGACCCCGUGAAGUCGGAGUCGCUAGUAAUCGCAG
rnacentral:rRNA from 1 species